CCUACGGGUGACAGCAGUGAGGAAUAUUGGUCAAUGGCCGUAAGGCUGAUCCAGCCAAGUCGCGUGAAGGAAGAAGGAUCUAUGGUUUGUAAACUUCUUUUAUAGGGGAAUAAAGGUAUCCACGUGUGGAUGUUUGCAUGUACCCUAUGAAUAAGCCUCGGCUAACUACGUGCCAGCAGCCGGGGUAAUACGGAGGAUGCGAGUGUUAUCCGGAUUUAUUGGGUUUAAAGGGUGCGUAGGUUGUUUUUUAAGUCAGCGGUGAAAGUUUGUGGCUCAACCAUAAAAUUGCCGUUGAAACUGGAAGACUUGAGUGUGUUUGAGGUAGGCGGAAUGCGUGGUGUAGCGGUGAAAUGCAUAGAUAUCACGAAGAACUCCGAUUGCGAAGGCAGCUUACUAAGACAUAACUGACACUGAAGAGCGAAAGCGUGGGGAUCAAACAGGAUUAGAUACCCCUGUAGUC
rnacentral:rRNA from 1 species